AUUGAACGCUGGUGGCAGGCCUAACACAUGCAAGUCGAACGAGUGGCGGACGGGUGAGUAAUGUCUGGGAAACUGCCUGAUGGAGGGGGAUAACUACUGGAAACGGUAGCUAAUACCGCAUACCAUCGGAUGUGCCCAGAUGGGAUUAGCUAGUUGGUGGGGUAAAGGCUCACCUAGGCGACGAUCCCUAGCUGGUCUGAGAGGAUGACCAGCCACACUGGAACUGAGACACGGUCCAGACUCCGACGGGAGGAAGCAGUGGGGAAUAUUGCACAAUGGGCGCAAGCCUGAUGCAGCCAGGCCGCGUGUAUGAAGAAGGCCUUCGGGUUGUAAAGUACUUUCAGCGGGGAGGCGUUACCCGCAGAAGAAGCACCGGCUAACUCCGUGCCAGCAGCCGCGGUAAUAC
rnacentral:rRNA from 1 species